rnacentral:rRNA from 1 species
CCUACGGGAGGCAGCAGUGGGGAAUUUUGGACAAUGGGCGCAAGCCUGAUCCAGCCAUGCCGCGUGUGGGAAGAAGGCCUUCGGGUUGUAAACCACUUUUGUCAGGGAAGAAACGGUUUGAUCUAAUACAUCGGACUAAUGACGGUACCUGAAGAAUAAGCACCGGCUAACUACGUGCCAGCAGCCGCGGUAAUACGUAGGGUGCAAGCGUUAAUCGGAAUUACUGGGCGUAAAGCGUGCGCAGGCGGCUUUGCAAGACAGACGUGAAAUCCCCGGGCUCAACCUGGGAACUGCAUUUGUGACUGCAUGGCUAGAGUACGGUAGAGGGGGAUGGAAUUCCGCGUGUAGCAGUGAAAUGCGUAGAUAUGCGGAGGAACACCGAUGGCGAAGGCAAUCCCCUGGACCUGUACUGACGCUCAUGCACGAAAGCGUGGGGAGCAAACAGGAUUAGAUACCCUGGUAGUCCACGCCCUAAACGAUGUCAACUGGUUGUUGGACGGCUUGCUGUUCAGUAACGAAGCUAACGCGUGAAGUUGACCGCCUGGGGAGGACGGCGCGAGUAGUAACGACGAAGAGUAGACGCGNGAGAGNGCGACGACGACGACGAGGGAGGAGG